rnacentral:rRNA from 1 species
UAUGAAUGAAUUUACUAAUAUAGCUUUUUUAUUUUUUCUGAAUUUAUAUUUUUGUUGAAAAUAACAAAAUUUUUCUUAAGACUAAAAGACCCUAAAAUUUUUAUAAUAUUUAAUGUAUUAUUUGGUUGGGGAAAUAUAAAACUUUUGUAAAUGUUUAGAACUUUACUUUUUUUUGAACUUUUAUUAUUGAUAAAUGGAAAAAUACUCUAGGG